UAUUUAUGUAUUUAGACCGCAGACAGUAGGUGAGUAAUCUUAAUUUCCUACCGAGGUUUGAAAAUUCAUUAAUUUAAUUUGAUUUUUCAAGUCUCACAAGCGGUGUGAGAUUUUUUAUUUA
rnacentral:sRNA from 1 species